GACACCGUACCCCUGCGUGUACGAUUUUGUUGCGUUAGUCUAUUGGAGGUCGGCCUGGGCACACAUUCUCAAAGCGAAAUCUGCUAUACCGUCAAGCGGAUCCCUUGCUAUAAGUUCUUUAAUGAAUCUUAGGCGUACUAGAUAUCAAAUAGCUGCAGAGUCGGAUGGGGUCUCAAGGAUACCGGUGUGUCCAACACCACCGGACACAGGCGAUUCCCCACGAACGU